rnacentral:tRNA from 1 species
UGGGGUGUGGCCAAGCGGUAAGGCAGUGGCUUUUGAUGCCACCAUUCGCAGGUUCGAAUCCUGCCACCCCAACCA